UACGUAGGUGGCAAGCGUUGUCCGGAAUUAUUGGGCGUAAAGAGCUCGUAGGCGGUUUGUCGCGUCUGCUGUGAAAACUGGAGGCUCAACCUCCAGCCUGCAGUGGGUACGGGCAAACUAGAGUGCGGUAGGGGAGAUUGGAAUUCCUGGUGUAGCGGUGGAAUGCGCAGAUAUCAGGAGGAACACCGAUGGCGAAGGCAGAUCUCUGGGCCGUAACUGACGCUGAGGAGCGAAAGCAUGGGGAGCGAACAGG
rnacentral:rRNA from 1 species